UCCUCCUUCCUUCACUUAGGUUAACUUGUAUGCUCUGCUGACUCCUUCGAUUGAUCUUCUUCCUCCGCCACCGACUGUCCCAAACUCCCAAUUUCCACUUCCGUCACUGCCAUUGCUGCUACCGCUAGCUGCAUCUCGAGUUUCUUCACUUCCUCCCACUUCAGCCACAGUCAUCGGUGCUACUGCUAGCUGCAUCUCCACCGCUUCCGCCAUCUCCACUUCAGCAACCUCCAAGCCGUGCAAGAAUCUGAGUGCGCAACCCACUGCCGGAGGCUGACUGACGGACGAGGAACUGGAAGGUGAUCCACAGUGCCAAGAAUCUGAGUGCACAACCUCCCAAUCUGAUUGCGCAACCUCCUUUAGCAACCACCACUUCCGCACUUCCGCCAGCUCCGCUUCAGCUCCGCAACCGCAAGUGCCAACUCGACUAGCACUUUACUUUCCCUCUUUUCUUGCACCAGGCUGACUGACGGACUCUCCAAAGUCCGAACCCAACCAGCUUCCCGGCUCAUCCCCAUCUCCGGGCUUUGUCCCCAACUUCCCUAGAUUUUGCAGAAAUUGAAGGAUAAACAAGAGAUUGUGUUGCCUAUUUCUUGACUUUGGAGAUGUUUGAGGUUGGUUCGUAGAUCCAUUGCUGGCAUUAGGGAAGAUUACAAAGGUAACCUACUGAGACUGAAGGGAUGUGUCUUUUCAAAUAUGUGCUGAGACAAUUGCUAAAUAUAUUCCUGAUCAGUGAAGUUAUCAAAAUUUGUAUUAAUGGAUUUUUGUGGACAUUUGGAUAAUUUGUAUUAGUGGAUAAUUUUUGGAUAAUUUGUAUUAGUGGACAUUUGGACAUUUAUGAUUGUAUUAGUGCAUAAUUU